UGCAAUGUCUGGCCUCCUAUUGUUAAUAUACUCAACCAUUAUUCCAAGGCUGAUGUGCAGCAGAGAUCAAGCACUCCAGGUAGAAGCAGAGAAGAGAAUCUACAUAGAUGAUGAUGUUCAGAAGUAUUCAAGGACUCCCCAAUCUGUUGGAUACGGAGGAUUUGAAGGUUUCCCAGAAGUUGUGAAUCCUAUCCACUGGACUCGAAAAAUGGAAUUUGAGAAAGUUCUUGAGAUUUUAGAAGUUGUGAAUCCUAUC